UAAGUACUCUCUCCGUACAACAAAAGAUGUCUUAAAUUUGUCAAAAUUUGGAUGUAUAAAAAAACAUGAUUUAGUGGGAUACAUUUAAAUUUAGUCAAAGUUGAGACAUCUUUUGUUGAACGGAGGAAUACUAG
rnacentral:pre_miRNA from 1 species